UACGUAGGGGGCAAGCGUUGUCCGGAAUCAUUGGGCGUAAAGAGCGUGUAGGCGGCUCGGUAAGUCCGCUGUGAAAGUCCAGGGCUCAACCCUGGAAUGCCGGUGGAAACUGUCGAGCUAGAGUCCGGAAGAGGCGAGUGGAAUUCCUGGUGUAGCGGUGAAAUGCGUAGAUAUCAGGAGGAACACCUGUGGCGAAAGCGGCUCACUGGACCACAACUGACGCUGAGGCGCGAAAGCUAGGGGAGCAAACAGG
rnacentral:rRNA from 1 species